GGCUUUUCCGUAGCGCAGCUAUCCCACUAUGUCUGUAGAACAACAAAUAAAACAUUUUCUUGGCGCCUCCGAGAAAUGAAUGGCUCAGUUUCUCCUGGCUGACUGUACCAGAAGAGGCCAGAAGAGGGCAACGGAUCCCCUGGAGCUGGAGUUACAGACACUGGGGAGCAGCUAUGCAGGUGCCCAGAAUGAAAUCCAAGUCCUCUGAGUCCAAGAGCAGCCAAUGUUCCUAACCACAGAGCCAUCUCUCCGAUCCCAAAUAUUUCCAUUUCUUCAGUGAUUUGACAAAUAACAGUUGGUUCAACACAGCGGGAGCAAUAUCUCUCGUGAUUAAAUUGAGUGAUCCCCGAGCAAUGGGGGUGCUCCCUAAUGCAUGCUACAAGGCCAGAAUUCUGCUAGAAACCAAACAGAUAGAAGAAAGGAAAACCAUCAAGCUAAUGUCUCUCCUAUGAGCACCGGAUCAAAACCCUCCGAGGACUGGGAAAUAAAAUCCAGCCAUGUACAGAGUUAUCUACCAUGAGCAACUUGAAUUUAUCCCAAGAGUACAAGGAUGGCUCGGUAUCUGAGGAUGAAUCCAGGUAAUCUAACACAUCAAAAGACCAAAGAAGGCAGAUAGCACAAACAUAGUAAAUGGAAAGCUAAUGCGUGCUUAUAAGAGAAAACGUGAUCCUUGUCUUUCUGAGUCUGGGUUACCUCAACCAUAUAUAUUUUUUCCCAUCCUGUAGGCUGACACUUUGCUCAAACGAUUGUGCCAUCAAUUGCUGUACGGAAACCUUGUGGCUUCCUGAAGCCCCACUUAUUAACUAUUGGUCUUAAAGCCUGCACUAUACAUAGUCUUUUUCUGUGCCAAUGGGUUCUCCCUUAAACACACAGCUUGUACAUUUAGCAUUGUGCAUGGCCACACCCCACAGUGCUGACUAAAUGCCACUUACACACAUUGGCUCUGAUUCCAGUGCUACACGUGGCGAGUCACACUGCUUUCACUAUUCGUAUGUAGAAGCACAAGGGUUGAUUAUGGAAAAUAAACACCCAGAAUCAAUUCAAGAUCCAGUACACAAUACACAAAUCUGAGGUUGCCCUGGAGGUGGCCCCCUGUGUUGCAGGCUGUGACUUCACUGGAGGCUUGUUCUGAACACACACCAGGAUGCAUCUUGCACAAGACACAUCGUCACCCACCCCACACACACCACAGACACACACAGACACACACAGACACACAGACACACACACACACACACACUCGAGUGCACGCCAGCCAAAGUCAUGUCAAAGAAUUCUGCUCAGAUUCUA